UUUAUUUCUUCUGGACUGCUCUCAUCAUUGCUUUCACUGCUUUCAGUGGCGUCAUCUGGACUACUCACGCUGUCCUCCUCAGAGUCUUCCUUCCUUUGUGCUAGACUGGAAACAUUUUUCAACAUUAUAAAAGCAAAAUAACUUCUAGUUUUCUAACGUUACACACCAUCCAGACAAAAUGAGGAUUAUCAGUUUGUGUCCUGUCUAGUAGCUGACAUGAAUACUCCACGGAUACCUCAGUGUGACAGGUAACAUGCACUUGGAAGAAGGCUAGACAAUCUGAUCCCAAAGUCAAGAAAGUGAUGACCCGUUAUUGACAGCAUUACAGUUUAUUUUGUGAGAAACCAUCUCUUCUGAUUUAUUAAGGAUGUAGCAAUUGCUAGCACCAUAUUCCACAUCAGAAAAAAUGAGCCUACCAACAAUGCAAAACGCUGCAGCAAAAGCUUCCACGCAGGACAGCUUGCACGGCCGACCGUAGUUUACAGGAUUUGCAGCCACCAAGUAAGGCAGCAACCGCAGAUGACUCCCCCUCAUUCUCUUAAAGGGAGUUUCUUCUAAUUUGGCCCAUGAGCAAUCUAUGACUGCAAUU